rnacentral:rRNA from 1 species
CAUGGAGGGUGAGAAUCCCGUCCGGCUGACCUUCAGGACGUUUUACGAUACGCUCUCAAAGAGUCGAGUUGUUUGGGAUUGCAGCUCAAAAUGGGAGGUAAAUUUCUCCUAAGGCUAAAUACCGGCGAGAGACCGAUAGCGAACAAGUACCGUGAGGGAAAGAUGAAAAGAAUUUUGAAAAGAAAGUCAAACAGUACGUGAAAUUGUUGAAAGGGAAACGAUUGAAGCCAGUCGUACCGACGGGAAUUCAACUUCUCGAGUGCUAAUCGUGGGUGACGUUGAGCCUCACGGCCUUCGUUGCUUGUGUUGUUGGUGCUUUUGGGGUGUACUUUUCCGUAUUGGUAGGUCAGCAUCGAUUUCCAUCGUCAUAAAAUGAUCGGGGGAAUGUAGCUUCGGUCUCGUAUCGGAGUGUUAUAGACCUUGGUAGAUGUGACGAUUGUGAUCGAGGAUUGCAACGAAUACCUUCUGGGCUAUCCGUCUGACCUCUGCAAAGUCUCUCGGGUGUCGAAAGCGUGCUUAUGGCUAUUCGAGUUGGCGGUCAAUAGGUUAGAACGUGAUUACAUUCGUUAAGGAUGUUGACGUAAUGG